rnacentral:rRNA from 1 species
CAGCACCUCAAGUGGUCAGGAUGAUUAUUGGGCCUAAAGCAUCCGUAGCUCGUUUUGUAAGUUUUCGGUUAAAUCCAUGCGCUUAACGUAUGGGCUGCCGGGAAUACUGCAUAACUAGGAAGUGGGAGAGGUAGACGGUACUCGGUAGGAAGGGGUAAAAUCCUUUGAUCUAUUGAUGACCACCUGUGGCGAAGGCGGUCUACCAGAACACGUUCGACGGUGAGGGAUGAAAGCUGGGGGAGCAAACCGGAUUAGAUACCCGCGUAGUCC